rnacentral:rRNA from 1 species
UCGAGGAUCUUCGGCAAUGGGCGCAAGCCUGACCGAGCGACGCCGCGUGCGGGAUGAAGGCCUUCGGGUUGUAAACCGCUGUCAGUGGGGAGGAAACGCCGGUGGGUUCUCCCAUCGGUUUGACCUAUCCGCAGAGGAAGCAAGGGCUAAGUUCGUGCCAGCAGCCGCGGUAAGACGAACCUUGCUAACGUUAUUCGGAAUCACUGGGCUUAAAGGGUGCGUAGGCUGUGCGGAAAGUUGGGUGUGAAAUACCUCAGCUUAACUGAGGAACUGCGCCCAAAACUACCGUGCUCGAGGGAGACAGAGGUAAGCGGAACUUAGGGUGGAGCGGUGAAAUGCGUUGAUAUCCUAGGGAACACCGGUGGCGAAAGCGGCUUACUGGAUCUCAUCUGACGCUGAGGCACGAAAGCCAGGGGAGCGAACGGGAUUAGAUACCCCCGUAGUCC